AUUUAAGUAGCUUAAUACUAGAGCUUAAUAUUGAAGAUAUUAUGGUAAAAAUUUUUUUUUCUUGAAUA
rnacentral:tRNA from 1 species